rnacentral:miRNA from 1 species
CAAGUGGAAAGAUCGUAGGGC